AGUGAGACUCCAUCUCAAAAAAAAAAAAAAAAAAAAAAUUGUACCAUUUCACAUUAGCUGCAUAAUAUGGCAACUUCAAAAUGUUAUACUAGAUCUUUUAUGUAGAUUACUUUAUUCCCACUAAUUAUUUUAAAUUAAAAAGUGCUCUCUCUUUAUAGAUACUUUUUUCUUUUCUAAGUUUUUCAUAUUAAUUUAUAUACUUUAUUUUCAAGAUUGAAUUUCACUUUGCUAUCUCUAUGCUCAGUAAUAGAAAUUGCUCUCACUUUUAGAAGUAUAAGUAAUGUGAGAUGAGUUUAACUUAAAAAAAAAAAACAAAAACCAUGUUAUUCUAUGAAGGAUGCCACUAUAGCAUAUUCUCAAACUCUAUUACUCAGGUCUUCAAUCUUGGUUAAAGAAGCUUCCAUUACAUGGAGUUAGUGGAAAAUGCUUCUAAGCAUUAUAAACAUCAUUUAAAUAUUUCUGAAUAAUGAAGGUUCAAGUGUAUUCUGCAUUCUCAUGCUUUGUUCUAUCUUUUCC
rnacentral:lncRNA from 10 species